UAAUACCACACACGAUCCCUCUCUCUUCUUCAUCUUCACACACACAAUUACUUCUUCUCAUCUCCCCAUCUCUUCUCUUCUCAUACUCAAAAGGGAAGAGAAAAGUAGAAGUGAGUUCUGAGUUGCAGUACUCUAGAAGAUCAGAGAAAAAAGAGAGAGAGAGAGAGAAAAGGAAGGAAGCUUUCUGUUUGAGGGGAAUGUUGUCUGGCUCGAGGCAACCAACAUAAUCGAUUGAGAUCGAAGAUUAUAGAUCUCUAGAUACCUAUGGUAUGAAAUUGAUUGUUUCGUGCAAGUAUUCUCGGACCAGGCUUCAUUCCCCUCAAUUAUUGCUUCCAUCUAAGCCGAUCAUCAUCUUCUUCAGCUUUUCUUCACCUACCUCUCAAUUGGCUUUCUUGAUCAUGCCCUGGAUCUGGUUUCCCAAGUCCAGAUAGUUUCCAGAACCCAAAAACAUCAUUGGGGGUCUUGUUUUUCAUGAUGGCUUCAAGCAUCAGAUCUGUCCGUUUCUGGGUAUUUUCUUCUUCAAAAACCUCCUCCUUCACGUUUUAGGCUUUCAUGGUAGAGAUCUAUGCUUUCCCCAUAUAUGAUCUGUGAUGCUGUUAGAAUGGUAACUGUUUCAAACUUUGUCAUCUCCAUCCACUUUUUUAUUUUCUAAAUUUCCUUUUCCCACUUUUGUUUUUUCUUUCUUCUUUUUCUGAACUUCUCCUUCAUCUGUAAUGAACUUUAUUUAAUGCAUGGAUGGGGAAAGGGAUGGAUGGAUAAGAGAGAGAGAGAGAGAGGUCUGAUCGAAUAACAGGUUUUGUAGAAUCAAAGUAAAAGAUUUUUCCUUCUUCCUUUAUUUAUUUAUUUUUUCUUUUCAGAUAUCUUUCUUCUUCCUUUUUUCAUUGAAUGGUAACCUAUCUUUAUUUAUCUGAAGCUUUUGUAAAGUGAUUACAGAAAAGGAGAAAGAAGAAUAAUAAUCUGUAGAAGGAUCAUUACACGUUCAAACCGUAAGUCUUUUUAUUCUGGAUUCUGGAUUGACCUUCCUUUCCCCUUCUCCUUUCCCCUUCUGCUACUCUUGUUUCUUCUUUUCUUUUGCUGAAUAUUUUGAUUUCAGUUACAUGAACAAGUUUGCAUUGUUCCAUCCAGAUAAAACCCUUUUUUGUUUUUGAGGUAUUGAGCUGAACCUUAAAUGGGUUUCUUGUUUCUUACACAUUCAUUGAUUCACAAGAAGCAACAUUGAUGAAUGAGGUGAAACUCAAUUUUUUUUUCCUUCUUUAGUGGGAUUUCUAUGAUGUAUAUAUCUCUGUAGCUAAAGUAGUCUCUGUAACAAUAAGAGCUACCCAGUUACCUAUACUGUAGAGACACUAUAGAUAUAUUCACAUAAGGCACAGAACGUCAGCAAAGACGCCAUGGAUGAUUCCUCUCUAUCCAUAAAUCUUAUUGCUUAUUAAAUGGGUUCUGAUCUUUUCAUGCAUUUGGCAAAAUGCUGUGCCAGGAAAAGCUAGAAUUCAAAUUUCAAAUCGGUAAGGAAUCUAGGAAACAAAAGUAAGUAAAGUUUGACUUAUCUAGUCCUUCUCAACUACUUGUUUUUUUUGUUUUUGUUUUAUCUUAGUCAUUAUAAUCACUCGUUUAAAAUAUGCUAUGUAUACAUGUUCAUAGACUUGAUUGGAUAAAUGAAUGAAUCAUUAAGGUUUUUUAGUUUGAUAAUUGAUUGACAAUUUGAGAUUUUUGCAGGGAUUUAAAAACUAGAUUCAUUGAUCCGGCUCUGCUGGGCUUCAGACGUGCAAAGGUGUCAAGGGUGUAUUUUGAGAAAAAUACUAAAAUCUUAUAGGAUUUUAUGAAUCCUAUGAUAGUGGAUGAACCUUCCUCCAUGGGUUGGGAAAACUCUAUUUAUUUUAAUGCAUCUAAAAUGCUACAGUUGUAUUGGGGAAGGAAACUAUUUCUGCCUUUUGGGAAAAUUGGAUUUUUUUUCAUAAAGUGGAACUCUUGUUGGAUUUUAUGUCUUCUUAUUCUAUGGCCACAACUUUUUCCAUAAA